AUUGAACGCUGGCGGCAGGCCUAACACAUGCAAGUCGAGCGGAUCGGCGGACGGGUGCGUAAUGCCUAGGAAUCUGCCUGGUAGUGGUGGAUAACGUCCGGAAACGGGCGCUAAUACCGCAUCCUAUCAGCUUAGCCUAGGUCGGAUUAGCUAGUUGGUGGAGUAAAGGCCUACCAAGGCGACGAUCCGUAACUGGUCUGAGAGGAUGAUCAGUCACACUGGAACUGAGACACGGGCCAGACUCCUACGGGAGGCAGCAGGGGGGAAUAUGGGAAAAUGGGCGAAAGACUGAUCCAGCCAUGCCGCGUGUGUGAAGAAGGUCUUCGGAUUGUAAAGCACUUUAAGUUGGGAGGCGUUACUAGAAGAAUAAGCACCGGCUAACUUCGUGCCAGCAGCCGCGGUAAUAC
rnacentral:rRNA from 1 species